rnacentral:rRNA from 1 species
UGGGGAAUAUUGCACAAUGGGCGCAAGCCUGAUGCAGCCAUGCCGCGUGUGUGAAGAAGGCCUUCGGGUUGUAACGCACUUUCAGCGGGGAGGAAGGCGUUAAGGUUAAUAACCUUGGCGAUUGACGUUACCCGCAGAAGAAGCACCGGCUAACUCCGUGCCAGCAGCCGCGGUAAUACGGAGGGUGCAAGCGUUAAUCGGAAUUACUGGGCGUAAAGCGCACGCAGGCGGUCUGUCAAGUCGGAUGUGAAAUCCCCGGGCUCAACCUGGGAACUGCAUUCGAAACUGGCAGGCUAGAGUCUUGUAGAGGGGGGUAGAAUUCCAGGUGUAGCGGUGAAAUGCAUGGAGAUCUGGAGGAAUACCGGUGGCGAAGGCGGCCCCCUGGACAAAGACUGACGCUCAGGUGCGAAAGCGUGGGGAGCAAACAGG